rnacentral:lncRNA from 1 species
UAGAUGAUUCCAGUUGUUGUUGGAGAUUGUGUUGUAGUAGAACCAGGCCUUUGGUACUUAGAAUUAAUGAUAGCGACAACAGAACAAUAAUGGAACUGAGGCGUCCGUAUCGUUGUUCAGGGCCAAUCUGUGAUUGUUGUCAGCAAAUUUUGUCACUUAUGAGUUCAAACGGUUUAAAACUAGGAGAAAUUAAACAACAGUACGUAGCACACUAUAAAGUGAUAUUGUUGUCCUUUGCAAAUAUUUUAAUAGCAAAAUUAGAUAGAGAUUAGCUCUCAAUUCUUCUCUGUAACUCAUUCUCUAUGUAUCCCGUUUCAAAGACGAUGAUUAGGUCUUCAUCCUUUGUAUACACAUUUCUUGACAAAACAACUCAAGAAAGGGAUGGAAAAACGUCAACAGAUUUGUACAGCAAACCUAAUGGAAAACAAUUACAUCUUCUUCCUCAGAACUAUCAUCCCAAAAAAGGCUUAUUGCAUAGCCUACAAUCAUCCAUUUUAAAUUAAAUUAACUUGUUCUAUCAGUGAUUUCGUGAGAAAGCUAUUUCGAGACCACUCUUCUAGUCGGGAUUAAAGAAAACAUUUUAUUAAAUUAUUAAAAGCAUCAUCCUGUUACUUUACACAUUUUGAAUAACAUUAAAGCAGCCUAUAUUGCAUUUCGUUGCAAUUUUUGUAUUGAGAAUGAGACAAUAGAAAAGCAACCAAAUUACCAAAUCUCAUACAAUUUUUACCAGUUUAAACCUGAGUUAUGCCAGCCAUUGGUGCGCCGAGUGUUCUUUAGAAGACUUAAACUGAUGACACAUAUCUUAUAAGACGUACAAUCUGAUGAAUUACUUAUCCUGAACGGCGCUUCUCUUUGUGAGUUGCAUAGAAAAGAACUGUGGUGAAUUCAUUUGCAUUUUUUUUUUAAAUUUUGCGCUUAAGCAUAUGUUUUUAGGCAUGUAUUGUGAUCUUUCGGCGUCUUUCACUUAAUAAAUUGUGUUGCUAUCUAGCCAUAUCGAUGGUGUGUAUUCUGCAUCAUCCUUGAAAAAUAGGUAACAGUUAAAAAAAGAUAAGUACAGGAAACAAUCAGAUUAAAUUAAAGAAAAAAAAAACCAACAAAAUGAUUGGUCUCGCCUAAUUUAUUUGCCUUGUUAGUAAUUUUUUUAAAAAUAGUAGAUAUAGUAUUCUUACUAUUCAUCAUAUAUCAUUAUUUGAAAAAAAAAAUAAAAAAUUGUGAAAAUUUGAAGAGUUUUUUUAAUGGAAAUUGUAUAAUUAGCUACGGUACACUUAUUUCACUCUACUACAAACUUUUAGCAAAACCGGAUAUUAGUGAAUACACGUUGAAUAUUUAUAUAUUAUUAAUUAACGGACAGUUCAUUUGUAAUUUUAUGAAAAUGCAUUUGUCUCAAGACAAUUAAAAAAACAAUAAGCACGAUACACUUUUAACUUGUUUUUUGCUCUUGUCGCGUUUUCAUGCAAACUUUACAUUAAUUUUUACCUGAAUUUUCAUCGUUUAAUUUAGAAACCAGACUGCUGCAAACAUAUUAUCGAGUCUCAUGUCGACUAUCAGAUUAACAUAUGCAUUAUAAACAUUUCUUGAUUCGAUUGUCACAGAUGAGUCUUUUGUACGAAACGCGUCUGGCGAAAAUAUAAAAUUUCAAUCCUGGUAUCUAAGAUGAGUUUAUUUAGCACAAUUAUGUAAAUAAUUGGUGUACAACUAUCUUGUAGUUCAGCUGAUAACCUAUCGUUUACCGUUAGGGAUGGAUCCGGAAAAGAAGUGUGAAUAUUCGAAAAAGAUGAACUUUCAAAUUCAUUUACGGUAA